ACCAACAGAGCAAUGUCAUAGUAUUUUCCGAGAAGAUGAACGCAAGUUACCAACAAUAUCGUAAAUAUAAGUCUUAGUAUUUGCCGAGAGGAUGAGCGCAAGUCACCAACUAUACUAUAAAUACAAAGAAAGCUCAAGGCUUCUCUCUUUUAUCUUAUACAAACCACGGAGAACAAGAAUUGACUUAAUGUUCUAGUGUGAUCAUUGAAAACGAUGAGAAUAAUAUGGUCAUAUUGUUUUGACAUCCAUCUCAUUAGGCGUCCCACCGAAGAAGAUGUGAUGGAAGAUCAUUUGGCUCAGUUGACUGACAGUCUUAAGAGAUUAUCAUAUGGUCAAUCAUAUGAGGGAGAUGUACAUUUGAUUUCCACCAUAACAAUGCUUGGAUACAGUUCCAGUCAGAUUCAUCCCUCUCCAAGCAAGGUUAAGACAAGUGGACGAUUAUAUCAACGUUAACCCGGUUGUGAUUUUGACGUCUUAGUCUUUGUCGCUGCGAAUUUGAUUGUAAGGAACUCAUCAUGGGGACUUGCAAGGUUACGAGAGUAAUUUCUCUCUCCAUCUGUCGGCUAGGAUUAAUGAUGUGUGUCAACAAAAAAUUAUUGCUUAACUUUUUGGAUGUUAUUGAUUGAGAUGUAUGAUUAUGACAAAAAUAUUUGGUUUAACUGUAUGGCUGAGUUUGUAUUUUGAUAUGGUUGUAUUUCAUUUUCGUUUAUGUUCA